rnacentral:rRNA from 1 species
UUACCUACCCUUGACAUCCAGAGGAUUUUCCAGAGAUGGAUUAGUGCCUUCGGGAACUCUGAGACAGGUGCUGCAUGGCUGUCGUCAGCUCGUGUUGUGAAAUGUUGGGUUAAGUCCCGUAACGAGCGCAACCCCUAUCCUUAUUUGCCAGCGAUUCGGUCGGGAACUCUAAGGAGACUGCCGGUGACAAACCGGAGGAAGGUGGGGAUGACGUCAAGUCAUCAUGGCCCUUACGGGUAGGGCUACACACGUGCUACAAUGGGGAGUACAGAGGGACGCAAAGCGGCGACGUGAAGCCAAUCCCAAAAAGCUCUCCUCAGUCCGGAUUGGAGUCUGCAACUCGACUCCAUGAAGUCGGAGUCGCUAGUAAUCGCGAAUCAGAAUGUCGCGGUGAAUACGUUCCCGGGCCUUGUACACACCGCCCGUCACACCAUGGGAGUGGAUUGCACCAGAAGUGGCUAGUUUAACCUUCGGGGGAACGGUUACCACGGUGUGGUUCAUGACUGGGGUGAAGUCGUAACAAGGUAGGCGUAGCGAG